GGAAAACUCAACCUGUGAUUUUCGCAACAUCCUUUUCAACAAACAAACAAAUUCUUCAACUGCUGCACCUAUUCGAAUGAACAGCACUGUAGAUUUCACGGAAUGCAAUCUCAUCGAUGGAAAACUUUUUAAGAGGCGAUUACAAGGUA
rnacentral:sRNA from 1 species